GACGAACGCUGGCGGCGUGGAUUAGGCAUGCAAGUCGAACGGUAUCAUCCUUUCGGGGGUGAGAGAGUGGCGAACUGGUGAGUAACACGUAGGUUAUCUACCCUCAAGACGGGGACAACCCAGGGAAACUUGGGCUAAUACCGGAUGUGAGCAACUUUUAGUUGUUUGAAAGGUGGCGUAAGCUGUCGCUUGGGGAUGAGCCUGCGUCCUAUUAGUUAGUUGGUGAGGUAACGGCUCACCUAGGCAAUGAUAGGUAGGCGGCCUUAACGGGUGGUCGCCCACACUGGGAUUGAGAUACGGCCCAGACUCCUACGGGAGGCAGCAGUCGAGAAUAGUCUACAAUGGUCGGAAGACUGAUAGUGCGACGCCGCGUGAACGAUGAAUCCCUUCGGGGUGUAAAGUUCUUUUAUAUGUGAGCAGUGCUUCUUAUAUUAACAGUAUGGGGAGAGAGAUAUUAGCAUAUGGAUAAGCAACGGCUAAACUCCGUGCCCAGCAGCCGCGGUAAAA
rnacentral:rRNA from 1 species